rnacentral:rRNA from 1 species
AGAGUUUGAUCCUGGCUCAGAACGAACGCUGGCGGCAUGCUUAAACACAUGCAAGUUGUACGCUAGGGAGCAAUCCUGGAGUAGCGAACGGGUGAGUAAUACAUAGGAAAUCUGGCUUAGAGAGGGGGAUAGCUGAUGGAAACGUCAGGUAAUACCGCAUACGCCCUACGGGGAAAGGGAGAGAUUCGCUUUAAGAUGAGCCUAUGGUUGAUUAGCUAGUUGGUGGGGUAAGAGCCUACCAAGGCGAUGAUCAAUAGCUGUUCUGAGAGGAAGAUCAGCCACAUUGGAACUGAGACACGGUCCAGACUCCUACGGGAGGCAGCAGUGAGGAAUAUUGGACAAUGGGGGAAACCCUGAUCCAGCAAUGCCGCGUGAGUGAAGAAGGCCUUCGGGUUGUAAAGCUCUUUUGCCGAUGAAGAUAAUGACGGUAGUCGGAGAAUAAGCCCCGGCUAACUUCGUGCCAGCAGCCGCGGUAAUACGAAGGGGGCAAGCGUUGUUCGGAAUUACUGGGCGUAAAGGGUGCGUAGGCUGUUUAGUAAGUUAGAUGUGAAAGCCUUGGUUUCAAGCUAAGAAUAGCAUUUAAUACUGCUAAACUAGAGGAUAAGAGAGGAUAGUGGAAUUCUGAGUGUAGAGGUAAAAUUCGUAGAUAUUCAGAGGAACACCAGAGGCGAAAGCGUCUAUCUGGAUUAAUCCUAACGCUGAGGCACGAAAGUAUGGGGAGCAAACAGGAUUAGAUACCCUGGUAGUCCAUACUAUAAACGAUGAACACUAAGGGUCGGGACGUAAGUUUCGGUCUUCAAGCUAACGCGUUAAGUGUUCCGCCUGGGGAGUACGGUCGCAAGAUUAAAACUCAAAUGAAUUGACGG